rnacentral:lncRNA from 1 species
GUUUUUCGCGUCUUUAAACUUGGCCAGCACGGAAGUGUCAUCCGACUCGAUCAACACUUGCUGAGUGGAUUGCUUGUCGAAUGUGGCAUUGCUCAAGGCAGAGGAUACAGUUCCCACAACGUCUAGUCCUGCCUUUGAUGCUAGGUAUGCAGCAUACUGAGAAUAUAUUCGUGUGUCAUCAGUUUUUGCGCACAAACGAUAAAUUUAGGAAGAGUUUGGGCAUCGAAAGUAGAAAACGAAUGAAAUUUCUGGAAAUAAAUGUUACCUCAAUGUUGAUCAAAAUUCCAGUAACUGCAUUUUUCUUUGCAAACUCCAGGAAUUCAUUGAGGGUCACCAGUUUGCCCGCGUCCUUGUUAGCCGGAUUUCUGACUAUUUUUUCCUUGGUUCCGUAGGGGCUCUGCAUUUGUGCUGAAAUAAAUAGACAAGUUGAAAAGCCAUUAGUACACUUAAGCGGCUGGUCGCUAAAUUCGUUUGGAUUCUUCAGCGUAUAUCUGACCAUUAAAUUUAGUAAUGUAGGACGUACUCUGAAGUCUCGUAAUUUCACAAGCUUAGUAUUUACUAGCACGUAGCAAUAACAAAUUUUGAGUUAUAGAUGCUUACGUUUCAAGCUCUUAAUAUCGCUCCACGAGAGUUGGAAGGAGAAGACUCCGGCUUCUGCUUGAAGUUCGGGGAUGGUCUCACUCUUGGUCAUGAAUUGGCUCAAUGCGUUAGUGCCCGAGUUGAGGUCUGGAGUGUCUAAGCAGAAGGCAACACCAUCACUUGACAUUUGAACCGAGCAAUCGAUUAUGUCAGCCCCAUCCUCUACUGCCUGCUUGUAAGCAAGGUCUGUGCAGCCGGGAUAGAUUCCACUAGCUCCAUUUCUAGUUAUGAUCAAAGGAAAUCCUGCAAGUUCGAAAAUUUUCUCAGGAACUUCUUAACAACCACAUCACGCGAUUCACAAUACAGCCCGUCAUUUAUAUUAAGCUAGUAGAAUCUAAUUAAUUACCUGUCUUAGGCUUGGUUUCGUUCUUGUUCUGCGUAAAGCACGCUGCAGAAUGAAAGCAUUGGCAGGUUAACUAGGUUAUAAAUCAAACAUUUGCUUGUAAAAUUACGAAUGUCUGAUAUGAUAUCUCACCGAUUGCUUCUGAUGCUGUAGGAGGGAAAUCGGUCAGCACACCAUCAACAGAAAACUGAGAGUUAUCGACAAACUGCAGGUACUCAGCUGUGGGAUCAAAACUGUAGUUAUAAGGGAGAAUAACAUCAUUGGCAAAACCGGAAGCAUGCACUUCUAGGCCUUCUUUGUGAGCAUCAUUCACGAGUGUCGUGGCUUUCUCCACGUAAUUGUUUUUGUUUACAGGCCAUAUGUAUUCUUUUGGUACAAGGAUUCCGGCUGCAACUGACUUGAUCAUUCCGAGCUGC